UACGAACUGUGCGAACGUUAUUCGGAAUCACUGGGCUUAAAGGGCGCGUAGGCGGCCUUCUAAGUCAGACGUGAAAUCCCUCGGCUCAACCCAGGAACUGCGUCCGGUACUGGUUGGCUUGAAUCCGGGAGAGGGACGUGGAAUUCCAGGUGUAGCGGUGAAAUGCGUAGAUAUCUGGAGGAACACCGGUGGCGAAGGCGACGUCCUGGACCGGCAUUGACGCUGAGGCGCGAAAGCCAGGGGAGCAAACGGG
rnacentral:rRNA from 1 species